GCAAGUCGAACGCAGUAGCAAUACUGAGUGGCAAACGGGUGAGUAUAAUGUGGGAAUCUGCCUUUUGGUUUGGAAUAACACGGGGAAACUUGUGCUAAUACCGAAUAAGCCCUUACGGGGAAAGUUUUAACGCCGAAAGAUGAGCCUGCACUUGAUUAGCUAGUUGGUGGGGUAAAGGCUCACCAAGGCGACGAUCCUUAGCUGGUCUGAGAGGAUGAUC
rnacentral:rRNA from 1 species